AUUGAACGCUGGCGGCAUGCUUUACACAUGCAAGCCGAACGGCGGCGCGGGCUUCGGCCUGGCGGCGAGUGGCGAACGGGUGAGUAAUGCAUCGGAACGUGCCCAGUAGUGGGGGAUAGCCCGGCGAAAGCCGGAUUAAUACCGCAUACGACCUGAGGGUGAAAGCGGGGGACCGAAAGGCCUCGCGCUAUUGGAGCGGCCGAUGUCGGAUUAGCUAGUUGGUGGGGUAAAGGCUUACCAAGGCGACGAUCCGUAGCUGGUCUGAGAGGACGACCAGCCACACUGGGACUGAGACACGGCCCAGACUCCUACGGGAGGCAGCAGUGGGGAAUUUUGGACAAUGGGGGCAACCCUGAUCCAGCCAUGCCGCGUGCGGGAAGAAGGCCUUCGGGUUGUAAACCGCUUUUGUUCGGGAAGAAAUCCUCUGGGCUAAUACCCCGGGGGGAUGACGGUACCGGAAGAAUAAGCACCGGCUAACUACGUG
rnacentral:rRNA from 1 species